rnacentral:rRNA from 1 species
CAGCGGCGGACGGGUGAGUAAUGCCUAGGAAUCUGCCUGGUAGUGGGGGACAACGUUUCGAAAGGAACGCUAAUACCGCAUACGUCCUACGGGAGAAAGCAGGGGACCUUCGGGCCUUGCGCUAUCAGAUGAGCCUAGGUCGGAUUAGCUAGUUGGUGGGGUAAUGGCUCACCAAGGCGACGAUCCGUAACUGGUCUGAGAGGAUGAUCAGUCACACUGGAACUGAGACACGGUCCAGACUCCUACGGGAGGCAGCAGUGGGGAAUAUUGGACAAUGGGCGAAAGCCUGAUCCAGCCAUGCCGCGUGUGUGAAGAAGGUCUUCGGAUUGUAAAGCACUUUAAGUUGGGAGGAAGGGCAGUAAGCUAAUACCUUGCUGUUUUGACGUUACCGACAGAAUAAGCACCGGCUAACUCUGUGCCAGCAGCCGCGGUAAUACAGAGGGUGCAAGCGUUAAUCGGAAUUACUGGGCGUAAAGCGCGCGUAGGUGGUUUGUUAAGUUGGAUGUGAAAGCCCCGGGCUCAACCUGGAACUGCAUCCAAAACUGGGCAAGCUAGAGUACGGUAGAGGGUGGUGGGAAUUUCCUGUGUAGCGGUGAAAUGCGUAGAUAUAGGAAGGAACACCAGUGG